ACCCUCUUGGGGUCACAGCUGGAGAGUUUACAGUACUUUACCAGUCUUGACAAUGGGAGAGAGAGUCAAGCAGAAGCACACCCUUUCCAUUCUUAGCUUGGCCAGUGGCUAGCGAGUGGAAGGCCAUCUGCUACAAGU